rnacentral:lncRNA from 1 species
UGAAACCCUCAAAAGAGAAACCAGAGAACCACUCAGAUAUACCCAGUCAAAUGAAGCUUCUUCAUAAAAAAAAACUGUUACCACCACGAGUGAAUCUAAAAGAAAGCAUGGUCCAACAGAAAUGCAUAAAAUUCAAAAGAAAAAAAAGAAGGGGAAAAAGUUAGUAGUUGAGUUUAGCCCAAAAAGAGAAGCAAUGGGGAAGGUGGGCAAACAAUAUGCAUCAUACACAGGUGUAAUGGCUUGAACCAUAAUCCCCAUUCAUUUAAGCAAUUGGGCAGCAGUGGAUGACCAUUUGAAGGAGAAAAUCUGGACAGAAAUAACGGUAAUUUUAAUUUAUGUAUAUUGAAUAACUCUUUUAUACUUAUUUUAAUCAUUUCUCAUAAGAUCAAGAUUCCUAUGAUUUUUGUCUUUGGGGCAUUUAUUUUGGCAUUCAAAUACUCAUGGCCA